rnacentral:ncRNA from 1 species
GGGAUCGGGAGCUGGGUUUAGACCGUCGUGAGCCAGGUUUUUUUUAUCCUACUGGAUAUAGCAUCAUGAUAGUAGAUUGAUUUAGUACGAGAGGAACUGUUGAUUAUGGCCUCUGGUUAGCGAUUAUCGGAAACGGUAUGUCGCGCAGCUACGCCGUCUGGGAUAAUGGCUGAAAGCCUCUUAAGCCAGAAGCCCAUCUAGAAAGUGAUGCACGUGAUGUUGGACCGAUACGAAUAAUCAUACUCAAAAGGUCCGCUUCAUAGGUAACCCAAUGUAGAAGACAUUGUGUGAACGAAGGUACUGUAAGCAGUGGAGUGGCAUUACGUCCACGACCUGUUGAGGUUCAGCUUCGCUUCUAGGUUUCC